rnacentral:rRNA from 1 species
GACGAACGCUGGCGGCGUGCUUAACACAUGCAAGUCGAACGGAAAGGCCCUGCUUUUGUGGGGUGCUCGAGUGGCGAACGAGUGAGUAACACGUGAGUAACCUGCCCUUGACUUUGGGAUAACUUCAGGAAACUGGGGCUAAUACCGGAUAGGAGAUCCUGCUGCAUGGUGGGGGUUGGAAAGUUUCGGCGGAUGGGGAUGGAUUCGCGGCUUAUCAGCUUGUUGGUGGGGUAGUGGCUUACCAAGGCUUUGAAGGGUAGCCGGCCUGAGAGGGUGACCGGCCACAUUGGGACUGAGAUACGGCCCAGACUCCUACGGGAGGCAGCAGUGGGGAAUAUUGCACAAUGGGCGGAAGCCUGAUGCAGCAACGCCGCGUGCGGGAUGACGGCCUUUGGGGUGUAAACCGCUUUCGCCUGUGACGAAGCGUGAGUGACGGUAAUGGGUAAAGAAGCACCGGCUAACUACGUG